AGUCGCGUCGGGCCUCCCGAGGGGGCUGCGAGUGUCAGUCGGCUCUCCGCACGUGUCCGCGGCCUCGCGGAGCAGUCCACCCCUGGCUGGUUUCUGCUUCCACCUGCUGAUCUCACAGAGCUUGAUUUUGACACAAAGCAAGAUACUGAACAUUAACACCACCACAGAGGCCUACUAUGUGCUCCUGUCCCUGUUGUUACUUCCUCCAAAGCACUGCAAGCUAUUUGGCAUAUGAAGGUCUUGACCUGAGAAAACCAUCUUGGAUAACUGCAGCAAGGAAAAGGAAAAAUGCAACACCUAGGAGAUUUCAGUAAACAGUAGAAUCAUGCCAACCUAAUCUGUGUUAAAAUGCUUGGAAUGUGGGAGCCGCUGAUGAUGCCUCUUGUCUGUGUGUCUGACUGAAUCCUUUCUUUUCUCAGAGCAGCAAAGCAAAGCCUGGGAACCAGGCCAAAUGCCUGCCACUUACCUUAAAUUGAUCAGCCACUUUGAGAUUAAAACCCCUGAAAGCUGCCACACCGUGAAAACAAGGCCUCCUUCACAUUAAAGGCAAAUUGCGACUUUGGGUUUGCUGUGAUCUUUUUUCCAUUUUAUCCAGUUUUUCACAGUGCACUUUUUUCCCCCUUUCCAUUUAUGCUCCAAUAUAGAAGCCAAUAGUUACAGCAUCUUGGCCAAGCAUUCAUUAAGGUUUAUAAGAACAAAAUUUAUGGUUAUUUAGGAGUUGGCACAAAGGCAGACUGUUGCUGGAAAAAGAAAAAGAAAUACAGGUGGGAAAUAGAAGCCUCCACAAAGGCCCACACUAUACAGUAGUGUACUAGACUCUAGUAGUGGGCUGGGAGGAAAAUGAAAUAGUAUUUGAAACCAGCUACUCUUCUAUUCUGAAUCAUUCUCAUUUAUGGCUCUGCAGAUUAUUGAAACAAGUAUACUGGUUAUUCCAGGAGAUUUUUCUGUCUUGGGUAAAUGCUACCAUUUACAGGAGCUGACAGUAGAGAUAAAUAGAUGUGUGCCAAUCUGAGUGAUCUGGCAGUUUGGCUAAAGGAUAAAGUGCAUUUAAAAAAGAAAUAUAUAUAUAUAUAUAAUUUCUAUAUUUAUAUAUAGAAAUAUAUAUCUAUAUAUUGCUAUAUAGAUAGAAUCAUAUAUAUGAUAUAUAUGACUCAUAUAUGAUUUUUAUAUAUGAUAUAUAUAUGAUAUAUAUAUAUGAUAUAUAUAUAUGAUAUAUAUAUAUAUAUGAGAUAUAUAUAUAUAUAUAUAUAUAUGAUAUAUAUAUAUAUAUAUAUAUAUAUAUGAUAUAUAUAUAUAUAAGAUCAGGAUAAGGGCUUUCCCGUAAAGAGAAGAGUCACAUUAUCCUCCUUAGUGGACCUUACAUAAUGCUGAGCCUGUGUUCCCAAAAAUCUAGGGUGUGGGUAAAACACACCCUUAAUCUUAGAAUUCGGGUAGUAAUGUGGAAUUCUGAUGCAGGCUGGAAGGCUUUAUUCUCCUUCAGGAAAUACUGUUAAUGAUUCUUCUUCCUUUAAAAAAAUACCCUGGCUUUCUUCACUAGGGGAAUAAGAAAGCUCUUUGCCCUAUCUUUUGCAAUAUUUAUUAAGUAAGCCCUUUAAAAAUAUAGUUUAGUUUCUACUCAUUGUUGUCUAAGAACUACCUAGAGUACUAUCAUUUAUUGAAAAAAUAUACAGCUUCAGUGUUUCAUGAUGUAAACUGUUCCUAAAAUAUCACUUAUUUUAGCUGCACUGGUAACUCACUAUGUGACUUGGGGCAGGUUAAUUUACAUGUUCAGCCAUCUCCCAUUCUCAAAUAGGAAUACUAAUAACGAUUAUAAUAAUAAAACAUACUAUUCCACUGUGAUGAGGUAGACUGUGAUGAAGUAUUUGCUUCUACUUCCAUAACUUUGCAUAUGCUAGAAUAUUUUACCCUUUCCUCCCCAUGAAAUUAAGUUCAUCAGUUUUACUGAUACUGUUUUGAAAACCUUCCACCUGAUUCUUUUUAUUCCUGUUUAUCAGCAUCACUUCAACAUGGAUACACAUACUGAUAUUUUGACCCGCAUUUGUUCACAGGUUGCUCUGCAGCAGACCUAUUUAAUUGUGCAUGGAUAUAAGUGAUUCAUCCUAACUAUACAUGCUUAAAGCUCCCCAGGGGAAAGGGGAAUGACCUUCCUGAUAUCUCUCCACCAUUCUUGUAACAGUCCUCUGUUCUGAAAAGACACUCAUUAAAUCUGGAAAAUUGAAGAUGCACAGAAUCUUUUGUGUCAUUUCAUAAAAUGCCAGCUACAACUCUGGAUGCAUGAGCACACAUGUGACCAUCACUUGCAAAUAAUACUGAUUAUUUCUGAGCCUGGGUUAGUCUGUUUAGCAAUCAUAAUAAGACAUUUGCCUUGUUUUGCAGAGUGUCAGAAAGCCACAGCCAUGAUAAAAGGAAACACAGAAAAAGCUAUGGCUCAGUGUGUUGGUCAACUCUGUUUCUGCCCCUUUUUAACCAGUUUGUCUUAUAAGUUUGUCGUUAAAAUUUUCCAUCACACCUAAUAGACUUUUAUCUUGAUCAUCAAUUUUAUAACUUCCAAGUCUUCAUACUUCAUAUUUCCUAUUAAUUGUGAUUGUUCUGUGUUUCUUUUUUUUCUAUUUUUUUAAAAAUUAUCUUUAAGUUCUGGGGUGCAUGUGCAGAACCUGCAGUUUUGUUACAUAGGUAUGCAUGUGCCAUGGUGGUUUGCUGCACCCGCGAAUCCAUCCACUACUUGAGGUAUUUCUCCUAAUGCUAUCCCUCUCCUAGCCCCCCACCCCGACAGGCCCUGGUAUGUGAUGUUCCCCUCCCUAUGUCUAUGUAUUCUCAUUGUUCAACUCCCACUUAUGAGUGAGAACAUGUGGUGUUUGGUUUUCUGUUCUUGUGAUAGUUUGCUAAGAAUGAUGGUUUCCAGCUUCAUCCAUGUCCCUACAAAGGACAUGAACUCAUCCUUUUUUAUGGCUGCAUAGUAUUCCAUGGUGUAUAUGUGCCACAUUUUCUUUAUCCAGUCUAUCAUUGAUGGGCAUUUGGGUUGGUUCCAAGUCUUUGCUAUUGUGAAUGGUGCCAUAAUAAACAUAUAUGUGCAUGUGUCUUUAUAGUAGAAUGAUUUAUAAUCCUUUGGGUAUAUACCCAGUAAUGGGAUUGCUGGGUCAAAUGGUAUUUCUAGUUCUAGAUCCUUGAGGAAUCGCCACACUGUCUUCCACAAUGGUUGAACUAAUUUGCACUCACAGCAACAGUGUAAAAGCAUUCCUAUUUCUCCACAUCCUCUCCAUCAUCUGUUGUUUCCUGACUUUUUAAUGAUUGCCAUUCUAACAGGUGUGAGAUGGUAUCUUGUGGUUUUGAUUUGCAUUUCCCUACUGACCAGCGAUGAUGAACUUUUUUUCAUAUGUCUGUUGGCUGCAUAAAUGUCUUCUUUUGAGAAGGGUCUGUUCAUAUCCUUUGCCCACUUUUUGAUGGGGUUGUUUUUUUCUUGUAAAUUUGUUUAAGUUCUUUGUAGAUUAUGGAUAUUAGCCCUUUGUCAGAUGGAUAGAUUGCAAAAAUUUUCUCCCAUUCUGUAGGUUGCCUGUUCACUCUGAUGAUAGUUUCUUUUGCUGUGCAGAAGCUCUUUAGUUUAAUUAGAUCCCAUUUAUCAGUUUUGGCUUUUGUUGCCAUUGCUUUUGGUGUCAUGAAGUCUUUGCCCAUGCCUACGUCCUGAAUGGUAUUGCUCAGGAUUUCUUCUAGGAUUUUUAUGGUCCUAGGAGGGACUCUUUGAUCCAUUUUGAGUUGAUUUUUGUAUAAGGUAUAAGGAAGGAGUCCAGUUUCAGUUUUCUGCAUAUGGCUAGCCAAUUUUCCCAACAAUAUUUAUUAAAUAGGGAAUCUUUUCCCCAUUGCUUGUUUGUGUCAGGUUUGUCAAAGAUCAGAUGGUUGUAGAUAUGUGUUGUUAUUUCUGAGGCCUUUGUUCUGUUCCAUGGGUCUAUAUAUCUGUUUUGGUACCAGUACCAUGCUGUUUUGGUUACUGUAGCAUUAUAGUAUAGUUUGAAGUCAGGUAGCCUGAUGCCUCCAGCAUUGUUCUUCCUGCCCAGGAUUUUCUUUGUUAUGCAGGCUCUUUUUUGGUUCCUUAUGAAGUUUAAAGUAGUUUUUUCCAAUUCUGUGAAGAAAGUCGGUCGUAGCUUGUUGGGGAUAGCAUUGAAUCUAUAAAUUACUUUGGGCAGUAUGGCCAUUUUUAUGAUAUUGAUUCUUCCUAUCCAUGAGCAUGGAAUGGUUUUCCAUUUGUUUGUGUCCUCUCUUAUUUCCUUGAGCAGUGGUUUGUAGUUCUCCUUGAAGAGUUCUUUCACAUCCCUUGUAAAUUGUAUUCCUAGGUAUUUUAUUCUCUUACUAGCAAUUGUGAAUGGGAGUUCACUGAUAAUUUAGCUGUCUGUUUGUCUGCUAUUGUUGUAUAGGAAUGCUUGUGAUUUUUUCACAUUGAUUUUGUAUCCUGAGACUUUGGUGAAGUUGCUUAUCAGCUUAAGGAGAUUUUGGGCUGAGACAAUGGGGUUUUCUAAAUAUACAAUCAUGUCAUCUGCAAAGAGAGAUAAUUUGAUUUCCUCUCUUCCUAUUUGAGUACGCUUUAUUUCUUUCUCUUUCCUGACUGCCCUGGCUAGAACUUCCAAUACUAUGUUGAACAGGAGUGGUGAGAGAGGGCAUCCCUGUCUUGUGCCAGUUUUCAAAGGGAAUGCUUCCAGCUUUUGCCAAUGCAGUAUGAUAUUGGCUGUGGGUUUGUCAUAGAUAGCUCUUAUUAUUUUGAGAUACAUCCCAUCAAUACCUAGUUUAUUGAGAGUUUUUAGCUUUAGCAUGAAGGGCUGUUGAAUUUUCUUGAAGGCCUUUUCUGCAUCUAUUGAGGGAAUUGUGUGGUUUUUGUCUUUGGUUCUGUUUAUAUGAUGGAUUAUGUUUAUUGAUUUGCAUAUGUUGAACCAGCCUUGCAUCCCAUGGAUGAAGCCAACUUGAUUGUGGUAGAUAAGCUUUUUGAUGUGCUGCUGCAUUUGGCUUGCCAGUAUUUUAUUGAGGAUUUCUGCAUCGAUGUUCAUCAGGGAUAUUGGUCUAAAAUUCUCUUUUUUUGUUAUGUCUCUGCCAGGCUUUGGUAUGAGGAUGAUGCUGGCCUCAUAAAAUGAGUUAGGGAGGAUUCCCUCUUUUUCUAUUGAUUGGAAUAGUUUCAGAAGGAAUGGUACCAGCUCCUCUUUGUACCUCUGGUAGAAUUCGGCUGUGAAUCUAUCUGGUCCUGGACUUUUUUUGGUUGGUAAGCUAUUAAUUAUUGUCUCAAUUUCAGAGCCUGUUAUUGGUCCAUUCAGGGAUUCAACUUCUUCCUGGUUUAGUCUUGGGAGAGUGUAUGUGUCGAGGAAUUUAUCCAUUUCUUCUAGAUUUUCUAGUUUAUUUGCAUAGAGGUGUUUAUAGUAUUCUCUGAUGGUAGUUUGUAUUUCUGUGCAAUUGGUGGUGAUAUCCCCUUUGUCAUUUUUUAUUGCGUCUGUUUGAUUCUUCUCUCUUUUCUUCUUUAUUAGUCUUGCUAGCAGUCUAUCAAUUUUGUUGAUCUUUUCAAAAAACCAGCUCCUGGAUUCAUUGAUUUUUUGAAGGGGUUUUAUGUCCCUGUCUCCUUCAGUUCUGCUCUGAUCUUAGUUAUUUCUUGCCUUCUGCUAGCUUUUGAAUGUUUGCUCUUGCUUCUCUAGUUCUUUUAAUUGUGAUGUUAGGGUGUUGAUUGUAGAUCUUUCCUGCUCUCUCUUGUGGGCAUUUAGUGCUAUAAAUUUCCCUCUACACACUGCUUUAAAUGUGGCCCAGAGAUUCUGGUAUGUUGUGUCUUUGUUCUCAUUGGUUUCAAAGAACAUAUUUAUUUCUGCCUUCAUUUCAUUGUCUACCCAGUAGUCAUUCAGGAGCAGGUUGUUCAGUUUCCAUGUAGUUGAGCGGUUUUGAGUGAGUUUCUUAAUCCUGAUUUCUAGUUUGACUGCACUGUGGUCUGAGAGACAGUUUAUUAUAAUUUCUUUUCUUUUACAUUUGCUGAGGAGUGCUUUACUUCCAACUAUGUGGUCAAUUUUGGAAUAAGUUUGAUGAGGUGCUGAGAAAAAUGUAUAUUCUGUUGAUUUGGGAUGGAGAGUUCUGUAGAUGUCUAUUAGGUCUGCCUGGUGCAGAGCUGAGUUCAAGUCCUUGAUAUCCUUGUUAACUUUCUGUCUCAUUGAUCUUUCUAAUGUUGACAGUGGGGUAUUAAAGUCUCCCAUUAUUAUUGUGUGGGAGUCUAAAUCUCUUUGUAGAUCUCUAAGGACUUGCUUUAUGAAUCUGGUUGUUCCUGUAUUGGGUGCAUAUAUAUUUAGGAGAGUUAGCUCUUCUUGUUGAAUUGAUCCCUUUACCAUUAUGUAAUGGCCUUCUUUGUCUCUUUUCAUGUUUGUUGGCUUAAAGUCUGUUUUAUCAGAGAUUGGAUUGCAACCCCUGCUGUUUUUUGUUUGCCAUUUACUUGGUAGAUCUUCCUCCAUCCCUUUAUUUUGAGCCUAUGUGUGUCUCUGCACAUGAGAUGGGUCUCCUGAAUACAGCACACCGAUGGGUGUUGACUCUUUAUCCAAUUUGCCAGUCUGUGUCCUUUAAUUGGGGCAUUUAGCCCAUUUACAUUUAAGGUUAAUAUUGUUAUGUGUGAAUUUGAUCCUGUCAUUAUGAUGUUAGCAGGUUAUUUUGCUCGUUGGUUGAUGUGGUUUCUUCCUAGCAUCGAUGGUCUUUACAAUUUGGCAUGUUUUUGCAGUGGCUGGUACCAGUUGUUCCUUUCCAUGUUUAGUGCUUCCUUUAGGAGCUCUUGUAAGGCAGGCCUGGUGGUGACAAAAUUUCUCAGCAUUUGCUUGUCUGUAAAGGAUUUUAUUUCUCCUUCACUUAUGAAGCUUAAUUUGGCUGGAUAUGAAAUUCUGGGUUGAAGAUUCUUUUCUUUAAGAAUGUUGAAUAUUGGCCCCCACUCUCUUCUGGCUUGUAGAGUUUCUGCUGAGAGAUCCACUGUUAGUCUGAUGGGCUUCCCUUUACGGGUAACCCGACCUUUCUCUCUGGCUGUCCUUAAUAUUUUUUCCUUCAUUUCAACCUUGGUGAAUCUGACAAUUAUGAGUCUUGGUGUUGCUCUUCUCAAGGAGUAUCUUUGUGGCGUUCUCUGUAUUUCCUGAAUUUGAAUGUUGGCCUGCCUUGCUAUGUUGGGGAAGUUCUCCUGGAUAAUAUCUUGAAGAGUGUUUUCCAACUUGGUUCCAUUCUCCCCGUCACUUUCAGGUACACCAAUCAAAUGUAGAUUUGAACUUUUCACAUAGUCCCUUGUUUCUUGGAGGCUUUGUUCAUUUCUUUUUACUCUUUUUUUUCUCUAAAGUUCUCUUCUCUCUUCAUUUCAUUCAUUUGAUCUUCCAUCACUGAUACCCUUUCUUCUACUUGACCGAAUCUGCUACUGAAGCUUGUGCAUGUGUUACAUAGUUCUCGUGCCAUGGUUUUCAGCUCCAUCAGGUCAUUUGAGGUCUUCUCUACGUUGUUUAUUCUAGUUAGCCAUUCUUCUAAUCUUUUUUUCAAGGUUUUUAGCUUCUUUGCGAUGGGUUCGAACAUUCUCCUUUAGCUUGGAGAAGUUUGUUAUUACCAACCUUCUGAAGCCUACUUCUGUCAACUCAUCAAAGUCAUUCUCUGUCCAACUUUGUUCCAUCACUGGUGAGGAGCUGCAAUCCUUUGGAGGAGAAGAGGUGCUCUGGUUUUUAGAAUUUUCAACUUUUCUGCUCUGGUUUCUCCCCAUCUUUGUGGUUUUAUCUACCUUUGGUCUUUGAUGAUGGUGACCUACAGAUGGGGUUUUGGCGUGGGUGUCCUUUUUGUUGAUGUUGAUACUAUUCCUUUCUGUUUGUUAGUUUUCCUUCUAACAGUCAGGACCCUCAGCUGCAGGUCUGUUGGAGUUUGCUGGAGGUCCACUCCAGACCCUGUUUGCCUGGGUAUCACAAGCAGAGGCUGCAGAACAGCAAAUGUUGCUGCCUGAUCCUUCCCCUGGAAACUUCAUCUCAGAGGGGUACCUGGCCAUAUGAGGUGUCAGUCGGCCCCUACCAGGAAGUGUCUCCCAGUUAGGCUACUCGAGGGUCAGGGACCCACUUGAGGAAGCAGUCUGUCUGUUCUCAGAUAUCAAACUCCAUGCUGGGAGAACCACUACUCUCUUCAAAGCUGUCAGACAAGGAUGUUUAAGUCUGCAGAAGUUUCUGCUGCCUUUUGUUGAGCUAUGCCCUGCCCUCAGAGGUGGCAUCUAUAGAGACAGGGAGCCUCCUUGAGCUGCUGUGGGCUCCACCGAGUUCGAGCUUCCCAGCUGCUUUGUUUACCUAGUCAAGCCUCAACGAGGCAGAUGCCCCUCCCCCAACCUCGUUGCUGCCUCGCAGUUCGAUCUCGGAUUGCUGUGCUAGCAGUGAGCAAGGCUCCGUGGGUGUGGGACCCGCCCAGCCAGGCAGAAGAUAUAAUCUCUGGUGUGCCGUUUGCUAAGACUGUUGGAAAAGCGCAGUAUUAGGGCAGGAGUGUCCCAAUUUUCCUGGUACCGUCUGUCACGGCUUCCCUUGGCUAGGAAAGGGAAUUCCCCGACCCCUUUCUCUUCCCAGGUGAGGCAAUGCCCCGCCCUGCUUCAGCUCACACUCCGUGGGCUGCACCCACUGUCCAACCAGUCCCAAUGAGAUUAACCCUGUACCUCAGUUGGAAAUGCAGAAAUCACCUGUCUUCUGCGUCCCUCAUGCUAGGAGCUGUAGACUGGAGCUGUUCUUAUUUGGCCAUCUUGGAACUCCCCAUAGUCCCAUAUUUCCUAGAGGCUUUGUUCGUUCCUUUUUAUUCUUCUUUCUCUAAUUUUGUUUUUUCUCUUUAUUUCAUUAAGUUGAUUUUCAAUCACUGAUUUCCUUUCUUCCGCUUGAUUUGGCUAUUGAAACUUGUGUAUGCGUCACGAAGUUCUCGUGCUGUGUAUUUUCAGCUCCGUCAGGUCAUUUAUGUUCUUCUCUAAACUGGUUAUUCUAGUUAGCAAUUCGUCUAACCGUUUUUCAAGGUUCUUAGCUUCCUUGCAUUGGGUUAGAACAUGCUCCUUUAGCUCGGAGGAGUUUUGUUAUUAUCCACCUUCUAAAGCCUACUUCUGUCAAUUCGUCAAAUGCAUUCUCUGUCCAGUUUUGUUCCCUUGCUGUCAAGGAGUUUUGAUCCUUGGAGGAGAAGAGGCGUUCUGGUUUUUGGAAUUUUCAGCCUUUUUGCACUGGUUUCUCCCCAUCUUUGUGGAUUUAUCUAACUUUGGUCCUUGAUGUUGGUGACCUUUGGAUGGGGUCUUUGAGUGGAACUGCUAUUCCUUUCUGUUAGUUAGUUUUCCUCUGACAGUCAGGCUUCUUUGGUGCUGGUCUGCUGGACUUUGCUGGAGGUCCACUCCCAACCCUGUUUGCCUGGGUAUCACCAGUGGAGGCCGCAGAACAGCAAAGAUUGCUGCCUGAUCUUUCCUCUGUAAGCUUCAUCCCAGAGGGGCCCCUGCCAGAUGCCAGCCAGAACUCUCCUGCAUGAGGCAUCUGUCGACCCCUGCUGAGAGUUAUCUCCCUGUCGGGAUACAUGGGGUUCAGGUACCCACUUGAGGAGGCAGUCUGGACCCUUAGUAGAGCUUGAACUCUGUGCUGGGAGGUCCACUGCUCUCUUAAGAGCCAUCUGGCAGGGAAGUUUAAGUUCUGCUGAAGCUGCAUUCACAGCCAUCCCUUUCCCAAGGUGCUCUGUGCCAGGGAGAUGGGGGGUUUUAUCUAUAAGUCCCUGACUUGGGCUGCUGCCUUUUUUUCAGAGAUGCCCUGUCCAGAGAAGGGAAAUCUGGCAGUCUGGCCACAGCAGCCUUGCUGAGCUGCAGUGGGCUCCGCCCAGUUCAAACUUCUCAGGGGCUUUGUUUACACUGUGAGGGGAAAACCGCCUACGCAAGCCUCAGCAAUGGCAGAUGCCCCUCCCCCUACCAAGCUCAAAUGUCUCAGGUCAAUCUCAGACUGUUGCUGUGCUGGCAGCGAGAAUUUCAAGCCAGUGGAUCUUAGUUUGCUGGGCUCCGUAGGGGUGGGACCCGCUGAGCCAGACCACUUGGUUCCCUGGCUUCAGCACCCCUUUCCAGGGGAGUGAACUGUUAUGUCUCACUGGCGUUCCAGGUGCCACUGGGGUAUGGAAAAAAGGAACUCCUGCAGCUAGUUAUGUGUCUGCCCAAAUGGCCGCCCAGCUUUAUGCUUGAAAGCCAGGGCCCCGGUGGGGUAGGCACUGGAGGAAAUCUCCUGGUUUGCCUGUUGCAAAAACCAUGGGACAAGUGCAGUAUCUGUGCUGGAGUUCCUCAGACUCAGUCCCUCAAGGCUUCCCUGGGCUAGGGGAGAAAAUUCCCUGAUACCUUACGCUUCCCGGGUGAGGUGACACCCUGCCCUGCUUCAGCUCACCCUCCGUGGGCUGCACCCACUGUCCAACCAUUCCCAGUGAGACGAACCGGGUACCUCAGUUGGAAAUGCAGAAAUCACUCACCUUCUGCGUCGAUCUUGCUGGGAGCUGCAGACUGGAGCUCUUCCUAUUUGGCCAUCUUGCCAGCCUUGACAAAAUCUUAAGAGUUGUUCUGUAUUUCUUUAGCUAUCAAGUAUUUAUGGAGGUCCUGGUAUAUAUUUAAUGUUAGGCUAAGGAUAAUUCAAAAAUCACUAUAUAAAAUGAAGCAGUUGGUAAGAAAACACAAACAAGCAAACGACUGCCUGUAGCAAUUUGCUUUGUAUUUUGUUGCAGAGGGUAACAAUUUGAGAACAAUUCAAGAUAAUACAUUAAAGAGUCAUAUUUCACGAUUAAACAGUCAAUUUGGACAGUUCAAAGAGUAUACACUGAAAACACCAUCAUAGAUUGUAUAAGACUUGAAAAGGGUCUAGAGGGAUGAUGGAGAAAGGCUCUUUAAGAGGGUAAUGGCAUAAACAAAGCCGUAGAAGUGGGAAUGAUCUUGGUUAGCUCACAAAGCAGCCAAACAGACUUCAGAGGGAGAGGUGGGAGUGUAGCUAAAAUGUCGUGGGAAAUAGGGUUGAGAGAGAGACAAGAGCCAACUAAUGGAAGGCCUUGAAAGUCAAACAGAGGAGUUGUCACUGUCUUGGGAGAAAAAUAGGAUCCUUUUAAUAUUCGGAGUCCAAGAACAAAAGAUUUUAAGAUGUUUAUCUUUUUUUUUGGUGCAAAGAGCCCCGAAUCCUGAAACAGAAUACCUAGGCUAUAGUCUUGGUUUCACCAUUAUAAAAUUGUGCAAUCUUGAGCAAGCUAGUGGAUCUUUCUGAGCUUUAGUUCUUGCAUUCACAAAUUGGGGAUGAAAAUACCAGCCUUACCAGUCAGGUUCAGCACACCAUUAAGCCACUGCAGCUACACAGGUGUGAGGAAAUGAGGAUCUGGAGGGUGGCAGUGGCUACAGAAAAUGAGUGGGAGAAACAAAUCAAAGAGAUGCUGCAGAGGCUGACAUUAUGUCAUGUAGGUGACUUUGGUCUGCCUGUCUCCAGGAAAAAAUAACACUUCCAAUUCACUUCUUUCCCUGAAACUUUAUCUUCUCACCUCAGGUCCUCUACAAAUCCUCACAUUUUGCUGUUCUCUUUCUUCCCUUGUCCGUUUUGGGAAAGAGUAUUUUUGUCCCUACUUACAUCACCCAAGAGGGUUCAGACUGUCUCUGAGGAGUCACCAACAGAUUUCCAAAAGACCUCUGUUGUCUACUGUUUCUUCACCACUCAGCUUAUAUGCUUUCAUCUAUUAACCUGUUAACAUCUUUCCUUAGUAAUGUAUAUCUUUCCUUUUUUUGAGUUCAAGUGAUUGUUUUAUUGUAAAGGCAAAUAAACUGUUACUAAAGUAAACUAAUACAUGUGAGUUACAGGUGUCACUGCAUGAAUGUAUUGACUGAAUAUCUGCUAGGAAAUGAGAUGUGAAAUUUAAGCAUGCUUUUGGAAUUACAUACAUAUUUUUGUUCAAAGCACAUUUUAAUGGUUCUAUAAAAGUAUAACAUCUUCCUUAGAGCAUAUAAAUGAUUAGUAUCAAAAUUAGACAUAUAAACACCAUGUGGGUUCAAUAAUUUUUCGUUAUUUCUGCCUGCUGCAGAACUAGCCCUGUGACCAGGCUCUGCCUGCAUCUUAAAUCACAUGCACACUAUAUUAGUCCUUCCCUCAUCUUCCACUCUAGGCUAAGGGAGUCCAGAAUGGGCACCAUUAGCAAUUCCUAAUGGAAGCUCUAAUUCCUACUUAGAAGCAAACAGUAGGAAAUUAAAUCAGUUCAAUCUAAAAAGAUACAGUGGCAGUUCUAUUUCACAAGGGAUGCUGGUUAAACAGUUAACCCAGAGUGAACUCCUCCUGUUCUUUGAUUGGGAAGCCUUUCAGACCUUAAUUACUGUGUUCUGUGAAUCUGUGAGAGAUGUUCGUAAUGUCCUUUCUUAUUUAUUUAUUUAUUUAUUUAUUUAUUGUUUUUUGGAUGAAGUCUCGCUCUGUCACCCAGGCUGGAGUGCAGUGGCGCGAUCUCGGCUCACUUCAAGCUCCACCUCCCGGGUUCACGCCAUUCUCCUGCCUCAGCCUCCCGCGUAGCUGGAGUACAGGCAUCCGCUACCGCGCCCGGCUAAUUUUUUGUAUUUUUAGUAGAGACGGGGUUUUGCUGUGUUAGCCAAGAUGGUCUGGAUCUCCUGGCCUCGUGAUCCGCCCGCCUCAGCCUCACAAAGUGCUGGGAUUACAGGCGUGAGCCACUGCGCCUGGCUGUACCUUCUUAUUUUCUGUAUCUCUCCGGAGUUUCUGCAGAGUCUGAUUCUAAAUGACUUUUAUUUCCCACCUAAAAAAUUAUUGAGAGUGAUAUCAGCAAGAAUCACUAUUUGAUCAUCAUCACCCCACGGAAGCAUCAAUUUUAAUGGCCACACAUGGAUGAGAGUACCUUUGAGAGAGUCUGGGAAUCCAGUGGACAAGUUCCAGCUUACCAUUGAAGAAGAAAAUUUGAGAAUAGAUGCAUUGAAGAGGGUAAGAAAAACAGUUUCAUUUACCUAUGUCACUCCUCUAAGGUGACAUAGCUCAAUACCAAGAGAGACCCCUUUAGUCCAUGAUUUAUCCUGUAGGAAAAAGUGAGAGUAUAGUCAGUGAGCAGCCAGCCAUGGGGUGCUGCCAAAGAGGCCCACUUGUUUUUAGCCCCACCCAGCACAGCUGAGUGGCUGGGAGAGGCUGGAAGCAGAGAAGAGAGAUGGGGAUUUACAGCAACCAGGGCAUGGAAUUCAACCAAAGGCCUUGGAUGCUACUAACUGCUUUGGAGACUUGAUCAGAAAACCUGCCCAUGAGCUGCUUGGGAGACCUUGCCUGCAGACCCCUUCAGCUGGCUCAUGGGCACCCCCAACACUGUGUACCUCACUCCUGCCCCUGACUGUGGCUGGCUCUGUGCAUGUGCCUGUGAACACAAAGUACAGGCCUCUGCAGAUGGCUUAUGAGCUUGCACAGACAACCAGCCUGAUUCUGAAAAAUAGGAAGAAGCUAUACAAACUUGAGCAUUUCAGGGCACGGACCUAGGAACAAGAAAUGGUAGCCUUUUUUAAUCUACCAUGGCUUGUGUGAUUGAGAGAAGACAUACAAUCUUAAGUAUUCCUCCUCAAGAGGGAACAAGAGAUGUGGAGUAGGCAAAUCCAUAGAUAAGUUCUGAGAGAGCCUCAGAAAUCCCUAGUCAGGCUGGCUGGUGAUGGUAUUUCUCUUCUGAAGCUAGUCAGUACAGAUUUGAGGAGGUGAUUACUUUUUCCGGUGUCUUUAAGGAACAAGAAAAACCAAGUAAACACGAUACUAUCAGAGGAAUAUAAUACUUUUCCAGUAACUGACUCUAAAGAAAUGGAGAUCUACAAAUUGCCCACAAAUAAUUUAAAAUAAUUGUUUUAAGGAAACUCAGCUGUGUUCAGCAUCUUUUCAACACAGAUAGACAACUCAACAUAAUCAGGUAAACAAAAUGAGAAGUUAACAAAGAGAAAUUGUAAAAAAGAACCAAACAGAAAUUCUGGAAUUGAAGAAUAGGAUGAAUGAAUAAAAAAAUGCAACAAAAAGCAUCAAGAGCAGACUAGAUCAAGCCAAAAUAAAUAAAUACAUAAAUAAAUAAAUAAAAGAAAAAAACAUGAACUCAGUAACAGGUCAUUUGAAAUUAUCCAGUAAGUGAAGAAAAACGAAUGAAAAGAAACAAGGCUGUGGGAUUUAUGGGACACCAUCAAGAGAAUUAUGGGAAUUCCCAAAGAAGAAGAGUGAGAGAAAAGAGAAGCAAAGCUCAUUUAGGGAAAUAAUAACUGAAAACUUCCCUAAUCUAGGGAUAGAUAUAGACACCUAGGGAUAUGGCACAUUAUAAUCAAACUAUCAAAAAUCAAAGUCAAGGAGAGAUUUUUGAAAGCAGCAAAAGAGACUCAUCACAUACAAGGGAAUGCCCAUUAAACUAUCAGUGGGCUUCUCUGCAGGAAUUUUGCAGGCCAGGAAAAAGUAGAUAAUAUAUUAAAAGUGCUGAAAGAAAAAAUUGCCAAUCAAGACUACUUUACCUAGCAAGUCUGUUUCAGAAAUGAAGGAGAGAUAAAGACAAACAAAAGUUGUGGGAGUUCAUCACCACUAGACGUGCCUUAUAAGAAAUGCUAAGGGAGUUCUUCAAACUGAAAUGAAAGAAUGCUAGUUAGCAAUACAAAAAUAUAUGAAAGUAUAAAAUAAGUAUAUAGUCAAAUUCAGAAUACUCAAAUACUGUAAUGAAGGUAUGUAAAUCAAUUUAAACUCUAGUAUAAAGGUUAAAAUACAAAAAUAUUAAAAAUAACUAGAACUACAAUAACUUGUCAAUAGAUACAUAGUAUAAAAAAUAGAUUGUGGUAUUAUAUUUCAAUAUGCUCCACAUAGAAAGACAAAUACGGCAUCAUCUUAUGUGUAUGUGGAAUCCAAAAAUGUUGAACCUGUAGAAGCAGCAGAAUGGUGGUUAUCAGGGGCUGGAAGGUAGGGAAAAUUGGGAGAUUUAAUCAGAGUGAAAACUUUCAUUCAUAAUGUGAAUAAUUUCUGGAACCUAAUGUAUAGCAUGGUCACUCAAGUUAACAAUAAUAUCUACUUGAAAUUUUUUAAGAGAGAAGAUCUUGGCUGGGUGCAUUGGCUCAUGCCUGUAAUCCCAGCACUUUGGGAGGCUGAGGCAGGUGGACCACCUGAGGUCAGGAGUUCAAGACCAGCCUGGCCAACAUGGUGAAACCCCAUCUCUUCUAAAAGUACAAAAAUUAGCCAGGCUUGGUGGUGGGCGCCUGUAAUCCCAGCUACUUGGGAGGCUGAGGCAGGAGAAUUGCUUGAAUCUGAGAGGCAGAGAUUGCAGUGAGCCAAGAUUGUGCCAUUGCACUCCAGCCUGGGCGACGGGGCGAGACUCAGUGAAAAAAAAAAAAAAAAAAAAAAAAAAAGGGUAAUACUGUGAUUGAUAUGUCAAUGAGCUUGAUUGUGAUAAUCAUUUUGCAAUAUAUACUUAUAUCAAAACCAUGUUGUAUGCCUUAAAUAUAUACAAUUUUCAUUUGUCAGUCGUACUCAAUAAAGCUGAGGGGGGGAAAAGGGUCUCUUUUCCACUUUCCCAAAUAUUUCACUAUUUUUUUCCUUCCUGUUAGCCACCUGAUCUUUCUGAUUACUUGUUACCAGCACAACUCUCUUCCUUCCUGUUCCCUCAUUUCUUUCUUGAGUCUCCUUGUGUUUAGGAUUAGGAAAAGUGAAGUGAUUUAGGAUUAGGAGAAGUGAAAGGAUCAGGAAGUCACACUGCUAAUGACAAGUCCUGGAGAUGAUGCGGAGGAGCAGAAACUCAUGCUAGUGCUGGAGAGAGUGUAAACUGGUACAACCAAUUGGAGAUCAGUUUGGCAAUAGAUAUUAAAAAGAUGCUCAGCACCUGACCUGUAAUUAUCAAUUACAACAAUUAUCAUUAGGGCGGACCCCUAGCAAGUGAGGUCUUACUAUGUGCAAGUGAUAUGGUUUGGCUGUGCACCCACCUGAAUCUCAUCUUGUCUUGUAGUUCCCAUAAUCUCCACGUGUUGUGGGAGGGACCAGGUGGAGAUAAUUGAAUCAUGGAAGCGGUUUCUCCCAUCCUGUUCUCGUGAUAGUAAGUUAGUUCUCACGAGAUCUGAUGGUUUUAUAAACGGCUUCCCCCUCUGUGGGGCACUUGCUCAUUUUCCUUCCUGCUGCGGUGUGGAGAAGGGUGUGUUUGCUUCCCUUUCUGCCGUGAUUGUAAGUCUCCUGAGGCCUCCCCAGCCAUACUGAACUGUGAGUCAAUUAAACCUCUUUCCUUUAUAAAUUACCCAGUCUCCUGUAUGUCUUUAUUGGCAGCAUGAGAACGAACUACUACGGGAAGACCGUUUUUGCUGCUUUAUUCUCUUCAAGGAGGUUCUAUCAUUAUCCUAAUUUUACUAAUGAGGAAACCAAGGUGCAGAGAAACUAAAUAACACACCCAAGGUCGUACUGUUGUGGUAGAGCUGGGGUUUAGAUUGGAGCAGUUAGGCUCCAGAGCACCAAAUAUUGCCUGUAAUAAUGCAGGUCCCAGGAGUGAUGAUUAUUAGUAUUCUCUGCAACACUACUUAGAAUAAUAAAAAGGUAUGAAUAGCCUAACUUGCUCCUUCAAGAGGGAAUGCAUGGAUAUACCCAUGGACUAUUGUUAGGAGCUUAAAUGAAUGAACUGGAUCUAUAAAUAUUAACAUGGAAAAUCUCAAAAAUAGAAUCUUGCAGGAAGAAAAUCAAGGUACUGCAAAAUACACACAAUAACACCAUGGAUGGAAAUUUUAAAACACAUAAAACAAAAAUACAUAGUUUACAGAUAACUGCAUAUGUAGUAGUUAAAAACCUUAGGUGAGAAUUAUAUAGUCCAACUGAAUUAUGUCUUACCUUGAGAGAUGAAUGGAGUAAGUGAUAAGGAAUGGAGGUGAUUUUCUGUUUUUAUUUAACACGAAAAAGAAAGUUGAUGAAAACAUGGCAAAAUAUUAACAUGUUUAGUUCAGGCACUGGGUACAUAAGUAUCAUAUUUUUAAAUUUCUGUACGUUUAAAACAUUUUAUAUAAGCAUUUUGAAAACACUUAAAAAAGAAAUGAGAAAUUAGCCAAAAUCUGACAUGGAGGAGACCAUCAAUUUGGUGGCUGUUCAAGUCAAAACAAAUAAUUCUUGAGUACAGAUUAAGUUCCCAAUAUGGUGAGGGAAUAAAAAAAUAAGGAAAAGGCACUUUCUGGGAGUCUAGAGAUCAGUUAAAAAUACAGAGCCAGGCCAAUACAAUAACUAGGAAACAACAUAUGCAUACGCAGAGAUUUGUGUAGCACAACCUACACAUACUAGAUAAAUUUCACUUGAGAGGUUUUAGCAGCUUGUCUAUGGUCAGUGUUGCAGAGGAAAGAUGACUUUAUUGGGCUAGUCUUUGACCUAUGGCUGGCCCUUUGAGUAUGAUGCCUGAUGUGAGUGGUAGCUGGGAUUCAGCUCUCAAGGAAUGGAGAAUAGGAAGCACUUAGCUAUCCACCCACAUUGACAGCCUGUUUCUGAUGUAGAGAAGCCAAAAAUGUAAUUUUAUUAUUUUUUUAGCCAGCUCUGUUUAUAUAUCUCAUGUCCAUAGAUUUGGUGUAAUUACAGCCUAGAGAUAAUACCUAAGGUAUUUAUUGAACAAGUUCAUUCUGACUGGGUAAUAUUUGUUAUUUAUUUAGCUCUCUAAAUGUACACGGUACUUGACAAAUAUGUAGAAAGACAAGUUUCCUGCCCUGGGGAGUUUAUGUUCUAAUGCAGACAAACAGAACAGAAGGGGUGGGAUCUUGACUUGAAGACUUGGCAGGUUGGGAGAGGCUGGCUUGGUAGGAGAGAAGGGAACCUGAAGACUCUGGAAAAGUGAGACUGGAAAUGUGAAAGGAAUAGAGGACUUUUAGAGACAUCCUUUAAAAGUAAACACAAUGUUCAAUCAGUAUAAUGCUUUUUUUUUUUUUGAGAUGGAGUUUUGCUCAGGCUGGAGUGCAAUGGCAUGAUCUCAGCUCACUGCAACCUCUGCCUCCCAGGUUCAAGCAAUUCUCCUGCCUCAGCCUCCCAAGUAGCUGAGAUUGCAGGUGUCCGUCACCACACCUGGCUAAUUUUUUUUUUUUAAUUAGUAUAAACGAGGUUUCACCAUAUUGGUCAGGCUGGUCUUGAACACCUGACCUCAAGUGAUCCACCUGCCUUGGCUUCCCAAAGUGCUGGGAUUACAGGCAUGAGCCACUGUGCCCAGCCUAGUAUAAUGUUCUUAAAAAACGUUUUUGAGGAUGGGGGUUAAGGGGAGGGAGAGCAUUAGGACAAACACUUAAUGGAUGUGGGACUUAAAACCUAGAUGACGGGUUGAUAGGUGCAGCAAACCACCAUGGCACAUGUAAACCUAUGUAACAAACCUGCAUGUUCUGCACAUGUAUCCCAGAACUUAAAAUAAAAAAAAAAAAUGUUUUUGAGGGUAGGGAAGAGGUUAAGACAAAUGAAUCUGAUUGUGACAAUAGUAAGAUUAGUAGCAGAAGUAUUAUUAUGUUAGCAGCAGCUGUAGUGUAUUGAAGCUACCAUAUGCCAGGCAAUGAUGCAAUGCAUCUGUGCUAGACUCCUUGUGUACAUUGUUUCACCAGUUCUAAAAGGCUGAUUUUAGUGUCAUUACUUUAUGUUUGUGGAAACUGAGGUCCAGAGAGGUUAGAUAACUUGCCCAAAGUGACACAUCUGGGAAGUGAAUAAGCAUGAAUUCAAACUUAGAUAUGACUCCAAAGUCCAUGCUUUUUACUUUAUGCUCCCCUCCAGACAAAGAGAACAUUAAGGAAUGAGGAAUAGACAGGAGGGUUAGAACAUAGGCUAAUUGUACACCCUCAGCAACAUUAAAUGCAACCACCUCAGCAUUUAAGGGGGUAAAUUUCCUUAUGUGAGAAAAAGUAGAGUCGCAGCUAGUAGGUGAAAUGACUGAACCGAAUUGCACUUAUUGCUAGGAAAUUUAAACAAGACAAAUUUGUUGAGUCUUAUGCUAAUGUUCUAAGAGAACAGUCAGGGAAUAGAAAGAUAUGGUAUUAUCAUGGAGGAAACCAGCAAUGAGGAAAGAUGACAGACUAAGCUUCAAAAUUCCUUAAGAAGUGGACACUUAAGAGCUCUGGAUCUGCAACUAAAUAUACCUUCCAUUGUUUUUUUUUUUUUUCUUUUUUUUGAGAUGGAGUCUUGCUCUGUCUCCCAGGUUGGAGUGCACACUCAGGCUGGAGUGCAGUGGCACAAUCUCGGCUCAUUGCAACCUCCGUCUCUUGGGUUCAAGUGAUUCUCCUGCCUCGGCCUCCUUAGUAGCUGGGAUUACAGGCACACACCACCACACCUGGCUAAUUUUUGCAUUUUUUGUAGAGACGGGUUUUCACCGUGUUGGCCAGGCUGGUCUCAAACUCCUGACAUCAGGUGAUCUGCCUGCCUCGGCCUCCCAAAGUGCUGGAAUUACAGGCGUAAGCCACCGUGCCCAGCCUACCUUUCUUUCUCGAGUCUGUGAUCAGGUUGUUUUGGCUGCCUGUCUCUCCCCCUGCAACCCACUGCACAAGGUUCCACUGGCAUGGAAAUCAGUCUGUCUGUGUAUUUCUGUUGUCGAUCUAUCCAUCUUUAUCUAUCUAAUGAUCUCCCACCUCUUUUCCAAAAGGAUUUAAAAUAAGUUUUAAUAAAAUUAUAUUGGACAGAUAUAUCUAUAAUAUAUACAUGAUAUUAUAUUCAAUUAGAUAAUAUAGAUAAAAUUAUAUCCAAUAAGGUUAAUAAAAGUAAAAUGAUUAUAAAUUUACCUGAAAUACUCUUUCCCAACCCCUCACUCCCACUCAACCACCUACCCAUCACACUUCUAUUCAUAUUUUAAGACCCAACUCAAAAUUCCUUGUCAAUCUGAUGCUUCUAUGUUGUUCUACCACUGUUCCAUGUACAUAAUUUCAUGAUAGCAUUUAUUAUAUGAUCUUAUAAUUAGUUUCAUGUAAGUUUUCUUAAUAGACUAUAAGGUCCUUGAAGGUGGGAACCAAGUUUUGCUCAAAGUGUCUGUCAUGUAUUAAGUACUCAAAUAGUUAUUGAAUAAGUCAAUGACUAGAUAAAAUGAGAAUCAAGGGAAAGAAGAGGAAGCAAGUAUGCUAAGUAUGGAUUGACAUGUACUUCUGUUGCUGAGCAUCAGAUUUGAUUCUGGAAGCUAGGGCAAAAGGUAAACACAAAGUCACAUGAUUCUCAUCAUCAAAAGGAAAAGGCAAACACAUUCUCAGGGAGGCAGUGUUUAUGGCUAUUUAUGUCUGAUUAACCUUUAUUUGUUAUAAGUAAUAUGCAAUAAGUAAUAUGUUUUAAACUGAUUUUUUUCAAGCAGAAGGUUCAUAGUAAAUAAAGUAUAUCUCCUUAUUUAAUAAGGGAUGGCCAGGUUGUCAAAGAGCUAUAACCAGAAUUUCCCAGUGCCACUGACAAAAGAUCCCUAAAUUUAUUAAGAAAUGUGACAAUAUUACCAUGAAAAUGCUUUUUUCUUUGUUGUUGAUGAGUUAGUAUGCCACAAAAGGAAAUACAUUCUAAUCACCAAUGAAUGUAAUUCACAGCAGCAUUUAAAAAAAUCAUAUGUCAAGUGCCUUCUUUUUCAGCAUAUUUAUUUUUUAAAUUUAAAUUUAUAUUUUAAACAACUAAUAAUAGUUGUGUAUAUUUAUGGGGUACAGUGUGAUGCUUUGAGAGAGAUAUAUAUAUACACAUACACAUUGAGAAAUGAUUAUAUCAAAUUGGUAUAUCAAUCACCUCACAUAAUUUUUUAUGGUGAGAACAUAUAAAAUUUAUUCUUUUAGCAAUUUUGAACUGUACAACACAUUAGCUAUGGUCACCUUGCUGUGCAAUAGAUAUUGAAAACUUAUUUCUCUUGUCUAAUUGAAACUUUGUACCCUUUGGUCAACCUCUUUCCAUUCCUUUCCCCUUCUCCCACCUCUGGUAAUCACCGUUCUAACCUUUAUUUCUAUGAGUUUUACUUUUUUGGAUUCCAUAUAUGAGUGAAAUCAUGUGGUAUAUGUUUUUCUGUGCCUGGUAUAUUUUAGCAUAAUGUCCUCCAGAUUCAUUCACGUUUUUGUAAAUGACAGAAUUUGCUUCUUUUUAAAGAUUGAAUAAUAUUUAAUCAUAUAUAUGUAUAAAAACACACUCAUACUCUAUUCUUGCAUUGAUGGACACAGGUUUGUUCCAUAUCUUGACUAUUGUGAAUAAUAGCAUAUUUGUUUUGAAACAUGUGGUUCAGUAAAUAGAAGAUGCAUCUUGGAAUCAAGCAUCCUUAGGCUCAGUUCCUAGCUCUGCCAUUUAUUUGCUAUGCAAUCAUGGAAAAAUUAUAGUAUCUCUGAGCUUCAGUCCCUCAUCUGUAAAACUUCUAUAAGCAGUGUAUACAGCAGUAUAUGUCAAACACAUAGGGAUUUCAUAUAGUAGCCACUCAAUCAAUGAUGGUUAUUAUCAAAGGCAAAAAUGCAAUUCUUCCCUGGUUGCCUUUCAUUAGGGUAUUUGAAACCAUUCUCUGUGGUUUAAGAGUGGUAAGUGAGGAGUGAACACCUUUCAGGUUGUUUCCCUGGGGUGGGUUGCCUUUGGCUGUUGCUUUGCUGAUUAUGGCCAAAACAAUCACUGUCUUAGCACUCACCCUGGGGAUGAGCCUAUAUGUCACCAACAGGGAACUGAACAUUUUGUCUAUCUGAAGCCCUCUUGCUUUGAAUAGUACCAUUUUCUUCUUGGCAUCUAACCCUGCUGAGGCAGAUACUAGAAUUUUCUUAUAUUUAUGCUUUCUCUUUUUGUAUUUUUUUUUCUUUUUAGUAGAGACGGGGUUUCAUCAUGUUGGCCAGGCUGGUUUCGAACUCCUGACCUCAAGUGAUCCUCCUACCUUGGCCUCCCAAAGUGCUGGAAUUACAGGUGUGAGCCACUGUGCCUGGCCUAUGCUUUCUCUUUUUAAUCUUCACAGCCUGCAUCCUGGUCACUUACCUGAACUCACCUUGUUUCAGUUCAUUCUAAAGAAAUGAUCAGGACAAUCUUACUCAAGCUCUGAGUUCAAGGCUGAAUUACCGCUUUCAAGAAUUUAAGAUAUAAGACAUACUAAAGUAGUCAGAUUGUGGAUUCAUCCAUAGGGGUAUUUUGCUUCUGCACCAAAGAACAUUUUUUGAGGAGUCUCGAAAGGUUAUGAAAAUACCCAUUAUCUUUAGUAACUUUCUAGUAACCUAUUACCUAUAUAUCUAGAAUUGCUUUCUUUCCUCAGGGUUGGCUCCUUGCGACGGACAGUGACAUAUGUAGGGUAGAAAGAGCACCAAAGGAUAAAAGGAUAUAGAUUUCCAUCCCCAGUUUUAUCUCAAGCUUUCUGCAGAUAAUGGGAAGCAGUCACCCAAGGCGCAUAAGCUAGGGGUGCUUGAAAUAGAGGUGAUAAUUGGGGUCAUGUGUUUAUUUGAAUAAAGAAGAAGUGAAGAGAAAAAUGCUCUGAUCUGGUGACUUCUGAUUUCCUCAGAAAAUAGACCUUCAGAAGGAAAAAGCAAGGAGAUAUCUAGACACACAUAGAAAAGAAAUGAUAAAGGUCUGCCUACAAGGAAGGCUACUAGUAACUAUAAUAAUAGGAACCAUUGACUUAGAACCUUCUGUUCCUGGUUUUCAUUCCCUUUUAAAAUCCUAAUUUGUGCUAAUCAGAAAAAGACUAUUUAGCAUCUAUUUAGGUGCUGAAAUUCUGUAGCUUCUCAUUUAUUUUCUGUAAAGUUAAGCUAUGCAGUUCUUCAUCAAUCACAAAUAUUUAUUAAUUGAUUACUGCAAGAAAGGAAAUGAGCCAGGUUUUGUAGUACAAACAAAGUAGCAUAUGGCUGCAGUGGACGUUUGUAGGAUUUUUUUUUUUUUUUUGAUGCUCAGUAUUCAAGCUCCUUUUUACUUGUGGACAUGCUCCAAUGUGUGGUUCUGGUGAAAUGGAAGCAGAAUGGGGCAGAUGUCCCUUUUGUCUUACUCUUCUUGUAUCUAGGGUAUGAAUGUAUGAUGUAAGCUGAGGUCAUUUCUCCCUUUGGUACUUUUAUCCUGAAAACAGUGACCCAAAGACACAAAGACUGUUUAGAAAUUAUUAUAUGGUGGCAAAGAGAGUCAAGCAGCAGUGAUGUCCCCUGGGGCAGGGAUGAUGCGACCAGCAGCAGUAUCUUAGCCAGAUUGUUCCUAUGGCUUGACUUUGACUAUGAUUCUUGUUUUGGAGUCUGAUUCUUACCUGCUUUCUGAAUCUGCUUCUUCAGCUUCCCUUUGAUAUUUUGCCUCAGUUAGCUAGAGCAGAUUUCUAUUUGUCAGCCAAGAAGUCUGACUGAUGAAAUGUAAACACAGCUCCUUUCUCCAUAUGUGUCUCUGGGAUUCAGUCUAUUUCCAUCUUGUGACUUCACCGUUUCAGCCUGGCUUCCAGAGUUGCCACAGCAGAGAAAGCGAGAGUGUGAGAACUCAUACUCUCUCUUAAACAGUUUGGCCCAGAAGCACACAAAGCACUUUUUCUCAUGACUGUUACCCAGAAUCAGUCACAUGACCUCACCUGACUGCAAGGAGUCAGGAACUAGAUCCCUGUGUGUCUAGGAGGAAGAGGAUGUUCACAUAUGGGUGGACAUUAGUAGUCUGUGUCAUAGACAGUGUAGAUGAAGUGGUAAGAGUUCACUAAAAGCAGAAAGUGUUGGAGGUUUAGAAGGUCAGAGAAAGUGUAUCAGAAACAGCUUGAGUGCUUCCUCUGGUUACUCUGCACCAACAUCUCCUGAACCAUUAGUCUUAGCCACAGAGCCCAAGUGGUUCCAGCACCCGCUGCUACCCAAUUGCUGGGUGGUCUGGGCUGUGUAGCUUCUUCUGCCACUUUUUGAUUUGAGUGAAAUGCUGCACAGUGAUGUGUGGAAUCUAAGUGGGUACCAAAGGGGCUGAAUGCAGCUAACUGGAAGGGCUGGGAAACAGACUGCCUGUGGUUCAAACUUGACUAGUGGAAAACAGGAGUCAGGAUGCAACUAGGCAGAUACGUUCCCUUUUUCUUCCUCGUCUUUGAGGCAUAGUUUCUCUGUAAGGUCAGUCAGUAGACCUGUUGUGUCUCUUCACGGCUCAUUGUAAAUCAGUGGCCAGCAUGGAAAUAUUUCCCCUUUUAAGUUUUCCCAUCUUUUCCUGUUUUAUUUUCUUUCUCCCUCACUCUUAUUGACCUAGGAUUGUGUUCCCAAAGAAAACAUCAGCACUUAAUAUGUGCCUCAGGCUGUGCUUUUUAGGAAACUCAGACUAACAGCAGGCUUCAUGCAAAAUAAAUUAAUAUUAUACACACUUACCUGAGCUUUAAAAAUACUAAUUAUAUGCAAGACUUACAUUAAGAAAACUUGAAGAAUAGAAGUUUAGUCUAUUAUAAAUUAAGAGAUAAUGGUGUAUUUUCAGAAAGCAUUCCUUUCUGUAUUUACCAAUCUUUCACUGUCAAGUCAGGAGAGGAUGAAGAGUUUUAAGAACGUUGAGAUCAUAAUAAAAGUUUACAACUUUCAAGUUCUCUGAAACUAAACUACAUCGUUGUGAAGGUAAAUCUAGUCACACCAGGGUAGAAGGUAGCACAGAACAGUGUGGCUAUCAAAACAACAAAUAGAAUUUGUAAUGCAGAGUAUUUAAUAUUCAGAAACAAAGCAAAUAACUUAAGAUACAAAUAGAUACAGUUAGGCAGGUGGAAUAGAAUCAAAUCAGCCAACUUCAAAACAGUUGAAUUGUUUGAGGAUAAACUUAAGUUUUACUGAGCUAUAUAUGUUUGAUAAACGUUCAUAUUAUUCUAUGAGGUUCUGAAUGGGAUGCAUCUAGAAAAAAAUAACUUCUACUGGAAACAUGUCAACCUGAUUCAGAAUCUGGAAAGAUAUUAACAGAAUAUCAUACUAUAAGUAUUUACUAUCUAAAAGCUCUAAUCAAGGAGCUUAGAAAUCCAUUAUCCUAGGCCUGAAUCUCUUCCACAAUAUCUUCACUUCUGGUCCUUCUGCGUUUGCUUGCAGAAGGCUAAUCAUGGGGAAUUUGCUUUCUCAAUCGAAAAAUGAUUUCUGGGGUCAUCGUGUGAGUGUGUGUAUGUCUUAAAAGUAAAAUUUGCCACCCUUUAACUUUAACUGAUCCUAGGUCCUUAAACCAAACAAAAAUGGUCUAAUUGCUCUCCCAUAUGAUAGUACUUAAAAUACUUGAAGACAGUUUUCAUAUUUUCUCCGGGACUCCUGUGCUCCAGGCUAAAUAUCUACCACUUCAUCAAUUACUCCUCUUAUGAUUUCGUGUUUUUGUUUUGGCGUGACCCAUGUUGAGUUUCUAAGUGAAGGAGAAUCCGUCACUUUCUCUGAUUGAGACAUUAUAUUCUUCAAAAAUGUAAUGCCCAGAACUGAACACAGAAUUUUAGGUAUUGUGAGACCCAUGUAGAAUGGAUAGGAUUGUCAGUUCCUUUAUUGAAGAUUCCAUACUUCCAUUAAUGCAAUCUAAAAUUACACUACUUUUCUUAGUGGCCACUGUUGACUGCAAUAAAACAUAGCCAGCUGCUAAACCAUUAAUUUUUUCCCUUCUGUUGCUUCCCAGCCAUACAUCUUCCAUUUUGUCCUUGUAUUAAUUUGUUUUGAACCCCAAUUUAGUGCUUUACAUGAAUUGUUAUUAAAGUUCAUUUUAUUUGAUUCAGGCCAUCAUUAAUGCCUAUGGAGAUUAUUUUUUGAUUCAGAAUCUGCCAACUAAGAUAGUUACUAUCUUCUUAGAUUUUGAACACAGGCCUUCAAUGAUAAGCAAAUUGACAAGAAAGAACCAAGGAUGACACUGUGGCAUAUCAGUAGAUAGUGCAGGUUGACCUCAGCCUGAUAUUCAAUCAGUACUCAUUGGGUACCAUCAUCAGUCAGUUAAAAUGUGUAGCUGUACCAAGCUCAAGACACUUUAUCAGGAGAUUUGUUGAAAUACAUUUCCACUUGUUCUACCACUUUUCUAUUGCCUUAGUGACAUUCAAGAAAGAGAAGGCAGCUCUUGGCAUCCUGCUUUAUUCCAGGUACAGUCAGUGAGGCCUUGGUGUUCCCAGGUGGCCUGGUGUUCACAACUAGGUCUUGGUUUUCUCUUGUUGGAUGUAAACUUCACAGAACAUGCCCCAUCAAAUAAGACCCACUCUGUGACCAUGAUGGAUCAAGACAAUGACUCUAUAAUCAUGUUUGAACACAGACAAAACAUUAACGUUGUCCAUGUCUGAUAUGGUUUGGCUGUGUCCCCACCCAAAUCUCUAUCUUGAAUUUUAGCUCCCAUAAUUCCCACGUGUUGUGGGAGGGACCUGGUGGGAGAUAAUUGAAUCAUGGGGGUGGUUUCCCUCAGACUGUUCUUGUGGUAGUGAAUAACUCUCACAAGAUCUGAUGGUUUUAUACAGGGAAACCCCUUUCACUUGACUCUCAUUCUCUCUCCUGUCUGCUGCCAUGUAAGAUGUGACUUUCACCUUCCAUCAUGAUUGUGAGGCCUCCCCAGCUGUGUGGAACUGUGAGUCAAUUAAACUUCUUUCCUUUGUGAAUUACCCCAGUCUCAUGUAUGUCUUUAUUAGCAGCAUGAGAACAGACUAAUACAAAGUCACAAGUUAUCAAACCUUUCCCUCUCCUGCCUAAUGUAAUGGACUGUUACUUCUUUGGCAAUUACAGCUUUAUCUUUGCUUUACUCUGCUUUUCCUAUAGAUAAGAUUUAUUGAGAUACCUAAUCAUAGAAUUGUCCCCACUGUCUGACAGAAUCCAAUCUAAAAUGAACUUACCCAUCCCUAGAGCCUCCCCAAAGAACUCAAGCCCAAAUUUUAUAAUAGGUUAUUUCUAACACCAUCUUACUGGGUGCCUCAUGGUUUCCCCAUAAUGAAUGUUAUCCCAUGCAGCAAUGCAUAAUAAACCUAACUUAAUCAACUACAGUUGUGUUUUUGGUAGUCUUUGGCUGGAGGCGUUGAUAUCCUAUCAGAAAAGAAGGAAACAGUGUCCUACACAAAUGCAUACACACACUCUGUCUCUUAACAGAUUUAUUAUUUUCAGUUUGGCUCUGGGGGUUAGACAGGAGUCACAGUCACAGAACCCUAUUAGUGUUUUCUCCAGUUAGGAUCCAUAGUGGCCCCUGGCUUUCCUAAAGGAGGAGAUGGCCUUGUCUCCCUCUGCACGGGCACAGCUCUGUUCAUGUUGAUUUGAGCACUAAUAGUGGAACCCAGGGCACAGUCUAUACUAUGCUGGCCCUGUGUCCUCAGCAGAAGUCUUCUGCUUGUGUUGUUGUCACCAAAUCCAAUGAUGCUUUCAAUGGCAUAAGGAAACUACUUAGCUUGUGGUGACUGUGGUGUCUGGCUCUGGGAGAGCAAUUCUUCUCUUGAGUUGUGGGCAAGCCUGGCUCAUGGGCUGAGGCCAAGGGUGGGAUAGAGAUAAAUGCUUUUCUCUUCUCUGCAGUACCCAGCUAGAACCAGAGUCGCUGAACCAGAUCUAGCAUUACAAAUAUUGUAUUCAUGUGUAGCUUGUAUUCAUUUAGUUUCAGGGAACAUCAGUGUUUUCUUGGCACUGGAUUCUAUUUGCACUUAAAGCCUGUGAUUUUUCUUUUUUGCUACCCGUUUACAUACUAACUGUUGUCCCUUACAACAGACUUUAUCUUUCCAUUUAAUUUAAUAAAUAUUUAUUCAGCAACAAUCAAAGAGCUGUGAAAUACAAAGAUGAAUGAAAUAUAACUUAUCUAAAGAACUAGAUAAUCUAGAAAAUGGGAUGAGACAUGUACAUGAAUAGCUGGGUGUUAAUCUUUCAGCCAACAAAUAUUUAUUAAGCAAAUACUUGUUCAAAGAAGUUCAAAGGAGAAUAAUCUAUUUAUUGAGCACCUUCUAUGUGUUAAUACUGAAUCAAGAACUUUUCCUUGGAUAGCACCCUUAAUUCUCAGAACAACGCUUUGAGAUUGAUGUUAUCACUCAGUUUUGCAGAGGAGAUAGCUGUGGCUGUGGUAUAACUUGCCAAGAUCCCAGGGCUAGUUACGUGUGAAAGCCUGGAUUCAAACCCAGACACGGUGACUUUGGAUCUGUGCCCUUAAAAAACACUUAUCAUUUGUGUUUUGUUAUUCUUAGGGUUCACAGUUGUUUGGGAUGUUGUUGAUCUCUGAGAACCUCUGCUUUGGGGAAGCUUAGAAAAAUUGUGAUGCAAGUGGAUGUUUUAGAAGGUGUUUGAAUGAUUUUUCUGUAGUUACUUCACCUAGGAGCACAUGUGAACACACAGGCACCAGAGCAGACCCUGGCAUCUGCAGCUAUGACUGUACUCUCGUUGUUCUAUGUAUUCUGUACAGUCUUGGGAGGUUAUUUUUAAUGCAACAUGCCAGAGUGGCAUGUUGAAAGAGCCAUAGUAACCAGCUAACAGUAACAGCAGGGCCUGCCAAGUAAAAGUUCCGUAAAUCAGUCAUAAACGCAGUUACAAAAUCGGGCCCAGUGUCGUGUGCACGAGGGAGUGUCUCUGGAGAAGGCACAAUUCAUGCACAGUUUCAUGGGAUCUCCAUGAAAUUCCAUGGGAGUAGAGAGCUCUGUGGCCAUAAAAAAAAAAAAAAAAAAAAAAAAAAAAGGACAGAAAGCAAAAGAGGCUUUCUAAUGGGAAACUUGCUCCCAUGCCAUCAGGUAACUCAGAAAAGCUAAGGAAAAGAUGCUCAGAGUAAUGAAUGCUUUAGAUACAAAGUGUCCUCUUGUCUCAUGUUUUUAAUACUUUUGGAAUCAUUCCUUUUCUGCUACCACAGCCCACAUUCAGGCCUUAAUGACUUGGUAUACUGCAAAGCCUCAUUGCUUUGAUGUAUCCUCCCUCAAAUCCACCAAACGCAAAACAGUAAUAAUUAUCCUAGGCAGAAUUUUGAAUAUCUUACUUAUCUUGUGAGAAUUUUACAAGGCGCUCCCAAGCACUACCAACCCCCACGAAAAAUUCAUAAUUUGAAACACUAGAGGCUUUCUCCUAUGAUAGACUUAUAGAAAACUCUUUGAGGGAGCAAGAUGCUUUACUUGGGAUUUGGAAAUUGUGAGGCUUUGGGGUAAGGACUUUCUUGUCAGGCAAUAGGGACAUCGCCAAUGAGUACUAACAAAUAAUGUGUUGCAUUUGAAAAGUCAGAGAAAUCACCCUCACUGAUUUGGCUCCCUGCUGUUACAGAAGAUCUGGGCAUAGGGAGCAGGUCAUUCAUGACUGACAGUAUAUUAUACAAGUAUAAAAUACACCACAGGCAGGGAAUUGGAGCAUUGACAAACUUAAUGCUCGAUAAAAGAGUUAAUCUGUGCUUACUGGAGUGGACUAUGUUGCCUCUUCCCUUUGAUGCCCCUUCUGAUUUUACAAAUAGCUGGCUCUCUCCUUGCUUACCUAUUUGUUUAGAAAUCACUAUCCUCUUUGUAGAGGAGUGUUAGGUAGGGGAAGAAAAGGAUGAGAUAAACCCAAAGGGAAAACUUGGAGCAAUGCCACCACCUGAAGAGCAAUUUUCAUUUAGAUAAAACCCCUCUGCCUAUAUAACCUCGGUUAUGACCUGGGAAGAUAUGAUUUAGCUUACAACUUUACAGAAAUAUUGGUACUGGUAAAAUGAGGUGUGGCUGUGUAACCCGAAGGACUAGAGAUAAGUUUAAGUGGAAAGCUCUUUCCAAUAUGCUUGAUGAGGACGCCUCCCUUGAUUGGGAAUUCCCCACUUCGGGUGUUCUCCCAGAAUGAGAUUCUUAUUGAACAAAAGGGAGUUAUGAGGCUGAUUUUUCUCUGUUGACUAUGAAUGUUUUUAUAUUUCAGGAAUUUUAAUAUUUUACACAGUUUUGUUUCUUAUUGUGGUAAUAUAUACAUAAUGCAAAAUUAACCACCUUAGCCAUCUUUAAGUGUUGCAACUCAGUGGCAAUUAAAUAUAUUCACAGUGUUGAACAACCAUCAGCACUAGCCAUUUCCAGAACUUUUUCAUCAUGCCAAAUAGAAACUCUGUACCCCUUAAACAAUAAUUGCCCAUUUCUCCUUUCCCUAGCCCUUGGUGACCUCUAUUUUACUUUCUGUCUCUGUGAAUUUUCCUAUUCUAUGUAUCCCAUAUAAGUGGAAUCACAGAAUAUUUGCCCUUUUGUGUCUGGCUUCUUUUGCUCAGCAUGUCUUCAAAGUUCAUCCAUAUUGUAGCUUGUAUCAGAAUUUCAUUUCCUUUUAAGGCUGAAUAAUAUUCCAUUGUAUGUAAUAUACCCAUAUUUCUUAUCCAUUGCUGGAGUUUUGGGUCAUUUUCACCUUUUGACUAUCAUGUAUAAUGCUGCUAUGAACAUUGGUGCACACGUAUCUGAGUCUGUCCUUUCCUUUCCUUUGGGUAUAUAUCUAGCAGCGGAAUUGCUAGGCCUUUUGACGAUUCUAUGUUAACUUUUUGAGAAACUUUGGAGACUUGUAAAGAGAGUAUAAAUCAAAGAGGCAGACUCAUUUCAGAGUCUGAGCUGGAACCCAAAUGAGGAGUAUUAAUAGGAUUUAGUUAAAAAAAAAAAAGGACUGUUGACCCUGAUGUGAAUCGUUUGAGUGGAGCGGUGGAGAGAGAAACCAGGCAUAUUUAAGAUGGAGGAAUCCUGAGCAUGCUUAAGUGUUGUGGGAGAUAUGAAAGGGAGGGGACAGUCAGCAGAGUGAGGUCUCCAAGAAGGCAGGAAAAGGAGUUGCCUUGGCCUGCUUUGAGAAUCUACCUCUUUAUAAUGAGAGGCAAGGACAGCGUCAGGUGCAACCCAGUGUAACCAAUCAAAGGUAUUUACUGAGUUUGGCACUGUGCAGGAAGAUAAAGUGAAACACUACUUGGAUUUUACCAUAAAUGACACAGUGGAAAGGCUUGAACCUCGAACCAAAAGUAGGGUAGAAAAUACUCAAUGUCACAAGGGAAAGGUAAAAAGCAGGUGUUAGAUCCUCAGCAGAAGGACAAGGUACUUUCAGCUGUAGAGGAGGACAAAUAACGAGGAAAGCCUUUGCCGCAGUGUAAACUAUUCUGGAUGGGAUUUGAGAUCUGGAUAGGCAUUGACACCUGGCAAAGUGGGGGAAAGUUCAUGCUACCCAAACUGUAUUCUACCACAUACUUAGGUAUUAUAUGAAAAGUGGGAACAGUGGUCAAAUUAAUUUAGAAAGUGCUGUAUCUAGGAAAACCAUAUUGUACAAUGUAAGACAUUUUUAAAAGCUAAAAGGGACACUGGUAAUUAUGCUGGGAUAACAGGUAUACAUUGGGACUGUUCUAGGCCGACUGAGAUGAGUGGUUAUCUAUACCACUUCUAUACCAUAUUUUACCUUUGAAGAUUUAAAUGAACAUUAGAAUUGUAAAAGGUUCUGAGACUUACUAUAGUAAGGAAACCUAUUUUACGCUGGUUAAUCCAGCAUUUUCCAAAUUUAUUUGACCAUGGAAUCCCCACCCUACUUCCCCUCCCCUUCCGAGGAGUAUUUAUUAGCACCUAAUAAAUACUCCAAAGGCAGAGAGAUGAAAGAGAUGUGGGGAUCAGGGAGGAUUUGGUUUGGCAGAAAGAAAGCAAUGGAAGAUGAGAAAUGUGGGUUGAGCCAUGUCUUAGUGGCUUUUGAGGGCCAGAUUUAGAACUUUUACUUGAUGAAAGCCUUUUCUCAUAGCACCAAAUGGUGCUGUGUGCCUACAACUCAAAAAGAAUUUUGAAGAAUCAUGAUUUUCAGGAGGAUAAAAUGGCAUAUUUUUCCUGGUUUUCCUACUGCUGUUCCUUCUUUAAUCUCUGAGAUUAGUGGAGACAAAACCCUCCAAUUUUGGAGUUUUCUUCCAUUUUUGAGGUAUUAAGGGAUGAGUUGUAAAACUCCCAUCUGAAGUCGUGUCUUCUUCUCUUAACCUGGUUUCAUUCGUGAGGUCUAAAGGAUAAAGGCAUGGGAGAAUGCCUAGGCUUUGAAAAGAAAAGUCAUCUAGAUUUCAUUCACGAUUGUGACUGCUAUAACUUUAAAUAUAGAUUUGAAUGCAAAGAGUUAGCAUGGUUACAGCAGCCUAGUAAUAAGUGAAGAUCAAUGAUUAUUACGUGACCACAGUUAGGCUUUUCUUAAUUAGAGGUCGCAUAUCUGGCAACCUGGUUAACUGGACAAUAGACAGGUAAGAAACAGAAGUUAUUAAAAACAAACUUCUUGAGAAGUUAUGGCACAAACUUUACAUUGAAGGCCACACAAUUCUCAGAAAAACUCAUUAUUUAUAAAACCUUAUUUGCACACACACUUCCAGUAAAUUAAGUGAGCUAAAUUUUUUGUACAUGAUAAAUUUAAAGGCAAAUUAAAAGGGAAGAAAAAAUUAACAGUGGUAGGUACAUUUAAGUGAAAAGAGAAAGUGUGAACUAUAAAAAUUCAAAGGACUAACAUGGUGUAAGGUUCUGAAGGCAUUUUAGAGGGAAAAAGUCCACCAAAUCUCAACUAUUCUCUCUGAGGAUACCAUUCAGUUAUACCAUAGAAUCAUACUUAUUUAAAAGGCUUAUCUUUGACUCACCAAAAGAUAUUAAAGCAUGUAACAUUACUCAGUUUAAGAUGGCAAGAAAGGGCUGGAUGUGGUUCCUCACUUUGGAAGGCUGAGGUAGAUGGAUCGCUUGAGGCCAGGGAUUCGAGACCAGCCUGGUCAACAUAGCAAGAUCCCAUCUCUACAAAAAAUAAAAAAAGUUGCCAGAUGUGGUGGUUUGUACCUGUAGUUCCAGCUACUAGGGAGGCUGAGGUGGGAGGAUUGAGCUCAGGAAGUCAAGGCUGCAGUGAGCUGUGAUCGUGUCACUGCACUCCAGCCUAGGCAACAAAGUGAGACUGUCUUAAAAAAAAAAAAAAAAAAA
rnacentral:lncRNA from 1 species